rnacentral:rRNA from 1 species
UGGGGAAUUUUGGACAAUGGGCGAAAGCCUGAUCCAGCAAUGCCGCGUGCAGGACGAAGGCCUUCGGGUUGUAAACUGCUUUUGUACGGAACGAAAAGGUAGCUCCUAAUACGAGCUGCUGAUGACGGUACCGUAAGAAUAAGCACCGGCUAACUACGUGCCAGCAGCCGCGGUAAUACGUAGGGUGCGAGCGUUAAUCGGAAUUACUGGGCGUAAAGCGUGCGCAGGCGGUUUUGUAAGAUAGAUGUGAAAUCCCCGGGCUCAACCUGGGAACUGCAUAUAUGACUGCAAAGCUAGAGUACGGUAGAGGGGGAUGGAAUUCCGCGUGUAGCAGUGAAAUGCGUAGAUAUGCGGAGGAACACCGAUGGCGAAGGCAAUCCCCUGGACCUGUACUGACGCUCAUGCACGAAAGCGUGGGGAGCAAACAGGAUUAGAUACCCUGGUAGUCCACGCCCUAAACGAUGUCAACUGGUUGUUGGGUCUUUACUGACUCAGUAACGUAGCUAACGCGUGAAGUUGACCGCCUGGGGAGUACGGCCGCAAGGUUG